rnacentral:rRNA from 1 species
UAGGGAAUCUUCCGCAAUGGACGCAAGUCUGACGGAGCAACGCCGCGUGAGUGAAGAAGGUUUUCGGAUCGUAAAACUCUGUUGUUAGAGAAGAACAAGUGCUAGAGUAACUGUUAGCGCCUUGACGGUAUCUAACCAGAAAGCCACGGCUAACUACGUGCCAGCAGCCGCGGUAAUACGUAGGUGGCAAGCGUUGUCCGGAUUUAUUGGGCGUAAAGCGAGCGCAGGCGGUUCCUUAAGUCUGAUGUGAAAGCCCCCGGCUCAACCGGGGAGGGUCAUUGGAAACUGGGGAACUUGAGUGCAGAAGAGGAGAGUGGAACUCCAUGUGUAGCGGUGAAAUGCGUAGAUAUAUGGAGGAACACCAGUGGCGAAGGCGACUCUCUGGUCUGUAACUGACGCUGAGGCUCGAAAGCGUGGGUAGCAAACAGGAUUAGAUACCCUGGUAGUCCACGCCGUAAACGAUGAGUGCUAAGUGUUGGAGGGUUUCCGCCCUUCAGUGCUGUAGUUAACGCAUUAAGCACUCCGCCUGGGGAGUACGACCGCAAGGUUG